UCUCUGUUACUUCUGAGGAAACUUCUGCGCCCUUUUGUGCAUCUUGUAGUUGACCCAUUCGCUCCUUCAAAAUUCAACAAAGAUAUACAAUGACUAUCGCAGACUUUCCUCAAUUUGAUCCCGAGCCAUGUGGAGAGGCAGAUCAAAAACGUCCUGAAGGAUUACAAACUCUUGGCUUACUUCGUCAUUAACCAGACUGCAAGUGAUCUGCAUCUAGCCUGUCAUUGCUUGUUGCUGACUGCCUAGAAGAACCAUUUGGGGCAUUUAAGAACUCACGCAUGUC